GGACUCGUAGGGUAGAGGAUAUCCUAGCGGGCUUCGGAGAGGCUCCUCGAAGAAACCCGCUGACCUGGGUUCGAAUCCCAGCGGGUCCG
rfam:Methanosaeta harundinacea 6Ac, complete genome.